rnacentral:misc_RNA from 1 species
GAUGAAGAACGCAGCGAAAUGCGAUAAGUAGUGUGAAUUGCAGAAUUCCGUGAAUCAUCUAAUCUUUGAACGCACAUUGCGCCUUCUGGUAUUCCGGAAGGCAUGCCUGUUCGAGAGUCAUUAACAACCGUUUCGAUCCCUUUCUUUCAGAAAUUACAAAGAGGAAAAGGGUUUGGUUAUGGUGGAGGAGGGAAAGGGAGCGUUUAGCCUGUAAAAAAAGAGGCUGUGUUCCGCCUCCCCCCCAAAAUUGUACAGGCGGUCGUGUGCGCCCACGCAUCGAGGUGUUGUAAAAGCUGCCACGGCACUUUUCACCUGUGCAGUGCGAGAUUGGCCAGCCGGUUUAAAAACCCCUCCAAACAAUCAAAGGUUGACCUCGGAUCAGGUAGGGAUACCCGCUGAACUUAAGCAUAUCAAUAAGCGGAGGA